rnacentral:misc_RNA from 1 species
GAAACUAAUUAAAGUGACUUAAUAAAUCAGUAACUUUGGUUUAAACAUAGAGUUGUGCGUGUGAAUUAUACUGAAGAAAAAGGCCAAGAUAGACAUUGCAUCAAACCUAGUUCUUGACAUUUGACAUUGAAAACUCCAUUGCAAUCAACACUUUACAAAAGAAUGUCGCCCCAUCCAUCCUUCUAGCAAGAUUAGUUUAGGAAGUACGAUGGAAGAGCAGUUAAUGUAUUAAGAUGCGUGCGAACAUUGUACAUUCAGUCUACCACAAUGGAGUUUCACUUCGAGUUAAAUCUUGAAAACACCAGUAUCAUGCAUCAUAAGCGUUGCUGAAGCAUUUCCAUCAACGGAUUAUUCUAAAAUUGCUAAAAGGUUAUAGCACAAUGCAAAAUAUUGCACAGUCUAGGGCUACAUAACUCAAAAAUGCACGAGGGCUGCUUUUAAUUAACAUUGUUGCCAACUUACUUGCACGAAUCCUUUUUAAAGGGCAGGGGAGCAGUGAAAGACAAAAAGAACCAUAAGGAUCAAGACCUGGAAGUACUAUGCUAUAUUUUCUCGUACUGCUCCUCUGAUGCUCCAUUUACUGCAUAUUUAAGCACUCAUUAAGCCUAAAUAAUGUUUCACUCAGGAGCCAAUGCUAGAAAGCAAUUCGCUGCUCUCAAGAUUAUCUUCUUUAUUUGCUUCUGAAGUUGGAGUAGAACGUGCUCUUUCUGCAGCCAAAUUCAAUCUCAAAGGCCGCCCUUCCACUUCCACUCCAUUCAUGGCAUUUAGAGCAGCUUCUGCAUUUUCAGCAGACUCAAAAGAGACAAAUCCAAAACCUCGAGAUCUUCCUGUGUCCCUCUCAUAGAUGACUUUGGCACUUAAUAAGCCUGGUUGGUUGGCAAAAGCAUCUCUAAGACCUUGAGAUGUGAGGCCCCAACCAAGGUUUCCUGCAUAGAUCUUGUGUGGAGUAUCUAUAAAGCCCUUGUAGGCGCUCCGAAUCCUUGGUGCCAUUACUUCCCUCUCACCUCCCUUUGGCACUUCUGGGAAGUUCACCCUCACAGUUCUGCCUCCAAUUUGCUGUUGAUCAUCAACAUCAGUACAAUAUUGCCAUUUUCAUCUUAGCAUAUAGUGCUCAAUUAACGGCAUUCAAAAUAUAACUAUAGUUUUGGUUUCUACUAAAAAUUGGAGUCCAUGCACUUGCACACACAUUCAAGCCUCUAGCUGGAUUAAGGAUCUACGAAGCUGAGUUAUGCUCAACUGCCCACAUCAGGAGAACACUUCCACAAAGUAACUUUAUGGCAAUGAUACAAAAGCAUGAAAAAUUACAGUUCAGAUAUUUCUCACCAAAUAGAGCAGUAAUAUUAUUAUUAUUACUAGCUAGUGAAAAAUCUAGUGAGCAAUAUAUAUAUAUAUAUAUAU